AUGGAAGCCAAAAAUCUGUUGCUGAACGACUCUCCAGAUAAAAUUUCACGGGCUCUUAGUAGUAAAGGGACAUUUACUACUAAAUCCACCUAUGAAUGGUUGGAAAGAAACCUAUCAGGUCCCAACUAUAAAUGGGUGUGGAAAGCACCUAUUCCGCUGAAGAUUAAAAUUUUCUUAUGGCAACUAUUUCAGAAUGCUAUGCUUACACGGGAUAAUAUGCGUAUUAGAAAAUGGCCUGGAAAUCCUAUGUGUUCCUUUUGUACAAAUGUAGAAACAGCAAAUCACUUGUUCUUUGCCUGCCCACUUGGGCGUUCAGUUUGGGGUGUGCUGGGUGUGACGCCCCCGAUUCAAUCGCACACUAAUCAUGCACGCAAACGUAUACGAUCAAGAUCAGGGACUCACGGGAAGAUAUCACAACACAACUCUAAAAACAUAAAUAAGUCAUACAAGCAUCAUAAUACAAGCCAGGGGCCUCGAGGGCUCGAAUACAAGUGCUCGAUCAUAGACGAGUCAGCGGAAGCAACAAUAUCUGAGUACAGACAUAAGUUAAACAAGUUUGCCUUAAGAAGGCUAGCACAAACUGAGAUACAGAUCGAAAUAGGCGCAGGCCUCCUGCCUGGGAUCCUCCUAACUACUCUUGGUCGUCGUCAGCGGCCUGCAUGUAGUAUUAGGCACCUCCGGUGUAGUAGGGGUCGUCGUCGACGGUGGCGUCUGGCUCCUGGACUCCAGCAUCUUGCGACAACUAGGUAG
rnacentral:rRNA from 1 species